UUACGGCUACAUCACCUUGAAACACAGGUUCCCAUAAAAUCAUUGAAGUUAAGCAAUGUUGAGCUUGGUCAGUACCUAGAUGGGUGGAUGUUUGGGAAUACCAGGUGGUGUAAG